GCCCACUGAGCUCGGCAGGUCGAGCGCUGCCCUGAAAAGGCGGAGGUCGCUGGUUCGAUCCCAGCAGUGGGCA
rnacentral:tRNA from 1 species